CUCUUUGUAGUUUAACUGGAUAAAAUACUUCCCUCCGACGGAGGUGAUAAGGGUUCGAACCCCUUCAAAGAGACCA
rnacentral:tRNA from 1 species